CACGUAGGGUGCGAGCGUUGUCCGGAAUUAUUGGGCGUAAAGAGCUCGUAGGCGGUGUGUCGCGUCGGCCGUGAAAACCUGGGGCUUAACUCUGGGCGUGCGGUCGAUACGGGCAUCACUGGAGUUCGGCAGGGGAGACUGGAAUUCCUGGUGUAGCGGUGAAAUGCGUAGAUAUCGGAAGGAACAUCAGUGGCGAAAGCGGCUUCCUGGACCAGAACUGACGAUCAGGCACGAAAGCGUGGGGAGCGAUCCGG
rnacentral:rRNA from 1 species